rnacentral:tmRNA from 1 species
GGGGCUGUAAUGGUUUCGACAGGUCUUAUGCUUGAUUUCUGUGCAGUGGAGUGAUGACCUAAUCAUCAAAACUAAAUUAAACGCUAACAACAAUAGUUACGCAUUCGCUGCCUAAGUUACGCUACGAGCGUUUGCAGCGCCCACUCCUAUCUUUCUUCAUUUGAUAGUCAGUGUGUAAAUAAAUGAAUACGGAGAGGUAAAGUCUGUGAAUCCAAUCCCGACAACUGAUACAGGCACCUGUAACGGAUGGUGAGCUUGCAGACAUGUCUGUUACAGUAAUCAAUCUGCUUGCUAAACUGUAGAAUCGGAAAUGUGGGGCAAUUCUUGGACACGGGUUCAAUUCCCGUCAGCUCCAUC